rnacentral:rRNA from 1 species
GGACCCGCACAAACGGUGGAGCAUGUGGUUUAAUACGACGAUACGCGUGGAACCUUACCCAGGCUUGACAUGUACUAGAAAGCCCUAUGAAAGUAGGGCCCUGGCUUCGGUCACUGGUACACAGGUGUUGCAUGGCUGUCGUCAGCUCGUGUCGUGAGAUGUUGGGUUAAGUCCCGCAACGAGCGCAACCCUUAUCUUUAGUUGCAAACCAGCAAUGGUGCACUCUAGAGAGACUGCCGCUGAUAAAGCGGAGGAAGGUGAGGAUGACGUCAAGUCAGUACGGCCCUUACGCCUGGGGCUACACACGUGCUACAAUGGUCGGUACAAUGGGUUGCGAUACCGCGAGGUGGAGCUAAUCCCCAAAAGCCGACCCCAGUACGGAUUGAAGGCUGCAAUUCGCCUUCAUGAAGCCGGAAUCGUUAGUAACCCCGUAUCAGCUACGACGGGGUGAAUACGUUCCCGGGUCUU